rnacentral:rRNA from 1 species
AGAGUUUGAUCAUGGCUCAGGAUGAACGCUAGCUACAGGCUUAACACAUGCAAGUCGAGGGGAAACGAUAUUGGAAGCUUGCUUCCGAUAGGCGUCGACCGGCGUACGGGUGAGUAACGCGUAUCCAACCUGCCCACCACUUGUGGAUAACCUUGCGAAAGUAAGACUAAUACCCAAUGAUAUCUCUAGAAGACAUCUGAAAGAGAUUAAAGAUUUAUCGGUGAUGGAUGGGGAUGCGUCUGAUUAGCUUGUUGGCGGGGUAACGGCCCACCAAGGCAACGAUCAGUAGGGGUUCUGAGAGGAACGGUCCCCCACAUUGGAACUGAGACACGGUACCAAACUCCUACGGGAGGCAGCA